UUUUUACUUGUUCUCUUCAUAUUCUAAUUUUUGAAUACUUUAAAAAUUUUAUUCUCAUCAUCGUGAGUCAUGGGAGACGAUAGAUCAAUUUUUUUUUAGCUGAAUGAUGGUGAAGUUUUCUGUUCUAAAAUAUUACUUUACUCCAUUUAAUAAUAAUAAUAAUAAUAAUAAUAAUAUAGUGAAAAAAAUUAAAUACAUCCAACUCUAUUAUAACUAAGCAAAUUACAACCAUCAAAUGCAAAAUCAAUGGCUAAGAAAAUGCCCGAGCAAAAAGGAUGCCCAUACCCUAUGUAUAUAUCUUUCUCUCUCUUCACUUAAUAUAAAAAAACCCUAAUAUACUCUUUUUUUGCUAAUUCCCUAAUAUACUCUUUAAACAGCCGCUCUCUCACUCUCUAUUGUGUGCGAUUCAGCCGCCCUCUCCCUCUCUAUUUUUCAAGUUGCGAUUCAGACCAAAGGCCAAAUGUUGGCCAUUUCUCUCGUGCAAAGACGAACCAGUCACUCCUCAGGCGAAGCCGUGCGAUCACAGGCGAACCCGUCACUCCUCACGAACCCAUCUCUCGUCAGGCGAAGCCGUGCGAUCACAGGGCCAAAUGGCCUCCAACGAUCUUUCUUUUCAAUCGGUGUUUGAAUCUCGUCGGUGGAUUGUCGGAGUCUCGGCGUUUCGAGAUGGUGGUCGACGACGAUGUUUUGUUUGUGGUGCACGGCGGUUUUGGGUCACGAGGGAGAGACAAAGAGAUAUAUGAACUGUGUAUUGUUCAUACCAUCUGAUUUUUUUUUUUUUUUUAAUUUUUAGUUUAUCUUGGAUUAAUACAAACAAUGUAUAACUGAUAUGGGUUUCAAUUUGUUUGGGAAAUUGUAUUUAGUUUAUAAUGUUGUAUUUUAUUAUUUUGUAAUUUUUAGUGAUUAUUUUGUAAUUUUUAGUAAAUUUAUGAAGAAAAUUUAAAAUUGAUUAUAAAA